rnacentral:rRNA from 1 species
AGAAUCAACGCUGGCGGCGUGCCUAACACAUGCAAGUCGCACGAGAAAGGGGAGCAAUCCCUGAGUAAAGUGGCGCACGGGUGAGUAACACGUGAAUAAUCUACCUCCGAGUGGGGAAUAACUGAGAGAAAUCUUAGCUAAUACCGCAUAACACUUACGAGUCAAAGCAGCAAUGCGCUUGGAGAGGAGUUCGCGGCCGAUUAGUUAGUUGGCGGGGUAAUGGCCCACCAAGCGAUGAUCGGUA